UCCAGAGCGAGUGCCAGGAUAGGCUCUAAAGCUACACAGAGAAACCCUGUCUCGAAAAAAAACAAAAUAAAUAAAUAAAUAAAUAAAUAAAACGAGAGCCACACGUGUAGAUUCAGUGAGGUAACUUCAUAAUAACUCGACAAUUAUUAAAUGAUUAACUCACCAAUAAGAAAUCUGUUUGCCAUCAACACUACUUGAAAAGAACAAGCUGUGGGGACUACACUAAAUGUCCUUUAACUUGUACUUCGGAAAUGAGUAAUUCUUGGAGCUAAAGAAUUGUGUACAAUUAAUGGUUUACAGCCCCAUUUGGGCCCCUCAUAUGAAUGAUACCAUCGGUCUUUAUUGUAUCCAUCUCAGUUCUCAUCCACUGUUUCAAAUCAUCCUCUCCAACUGCCUCUCCUGCAAUCCAGAGAAAGGAGAAUUUGUGCACAAGAUUCCCUUCCUUCUUGUCCCGUCUAGGAAGGACCCUCUGAAGUGACUCUUCUCAAGAGACACGGGUUGGGUUACUACUCAUUUCCUUUUCUAAGCCACAGACAUACCCACUGACACUCUACCUUCCAGAUUUCUCCAGGGCCAUCCUAGUCAUAGCUAAUAACUUUACCAGUUGUCCCCCUUCCCAUUCUGCCUCAUCUGCAGCUGUUCCUUACCUCACACACUACACUCGGUAUCAAGUGAUACUGUAGAGUUCUAGGAUUCUGGAGCAUGCCAGCUUCUUUCAUCCCUCGCUGCCUCUGGACACACAGCACCCUCUUACUGAAAAUCAUGAAGCCAUCUACCCAGAAAACGCCUGUUAGUUCCCCUCUUCUCUAUCGGUCUUGCCUUACUUAUGUUCUCUUUACCCAUCUCUGCAGCAAACCUCAUGGUAAGCUGUGACAUAACUAUUAUAUACCCAGCUCCCUGUGAAAACAACCAUUUGAGAGCCAGCAUUAUAUCUUCUAGAUCACUGUUCCCAGGGCCUACAACAUUGCAAAAGACAUGAAAAACCAGAUCCUUAGAGAAGCUAAAUGAAUUGCCCAGGAUCGCAUCACUAGUUCAGUGAUUUAGAGACUAUAAUAAAUGUAUCUAUGUCCAAGA